CCAAUAGCGUAUAUUAAAGUUGUUGCAGUUAAAAAGCUCGUAGUUGAACUUCGGGGUUCACCCAUUGGUCAGGCUUAAUUGUCUGCACUGGUGAGAUGAAUCUCUACCUUCUGAGGAACUUUCAUGCCAUUUAUUUGGUGUGAUGGGAAAUCAGGACUGUUACUUUGAAAAAAUUAGAGUGUUUAAAGCAGGCUAACGUCUGAAUACAUUAGCAUGGAAUAAUGAAAUAGGACGGACUGAUUCUAUUUCGUUGGUUUCUAGGAUCACCGUGAUGAUUAAUAGGGAUAGUUGGGGGCAUUAGUAUUCAAUUGUCAGAGGUGAAAUUCUUGGAUUUAUUGAAGACUAACUACUGCGAAAGCAUUUGCCAAGGAUGUUUUCAUUAAUCAAGAACGAAAGUUAGGGGAUCGAAGACGAUCAGAUACCGUCGUAGUCUUAACCAUAAACUAUGCCGACUAGGGAUCGGACGAAGUUAAUUUUAUAAUGACGCGUUCGGCACCUUACG
rnacentral:rRNA from 1 species